UAUAAAGAAAGAUGUUAGUGCUGCUCUUACUUACGUCCACAAUGCCUCCCACCAUCCAUGCUAGCUGUGAUAUUUGGCUCAGUCAUCCUACCCACCAUGUUCCACAACAGUAAAAGCCCUGACGCUGAGCCCACCGGCACCCUCUCUGCAACUGUAAGAGGCAACUGGAAUGGAAAAACAUUGUCUGUUCCUACUCAGCGAGGGGGAAAAAAAGAGCUGGAGCACAAGUCGGGGUGCAGCGCAUUUCCAUGUGAGACCCUGACAGCAUAUGGAGAUGCUCUGUAAAGAGAUUGCAGCACCAUCUGCUGGAAAAAGAAAAAGCCAAAGAAUGCAAGAAAAAGUGUGCAGGAGAAGUUGGAGGAUUGACGGGUGAAGGGAGAAUGUUUGGGGUCUAAUAACCGCGUCGGCCCCUCUUUCAUAGUCUGGUUUGGUGCUUUGGAUAAAAACACCUACACAAGUGCAUGCGGACGGCUGAGACAACGGAAAGUGCUGGAUGUCAGCAUCAUAACUCAACUUCGAAUCCCAAAUUACUAACUUGGAGAGGUUAAAGUCCACGGAGGCCUUUUUCCUCACAUCACAUUCAUAACUCCGACCACGAGACGUAUAAACAACCUUACGCUCUUGCCCUCAUUUCCUUCGGUGGAUCCUGUGGACAACUAAUAACGAGUUAAUCAGCCUGAUUGCACAUUCAUCACUGUGAUCUGUGUUUCUUUUUUUCAGCCGACGAGGGGAAGCAUGUUUUACUUGGGAAAUGAAAUAUUUAGUGACCUCUCGCAGUUGACCUUAGACUGGAGACAGAGGCCCUACAGCUGAGUAAACAGAAGGGCUGCAUAGUGGACAGGUAGCAACUAGUUGUUACCAUGGAUACAGAGUUAAUAGUCAAGACAUAAAAUAUGACUGUCUGUCUGAGCUCUUCUAUUUUUAAUUGUAAUAUAAAUGCGCUUUUCGUUUUGCUACAAAAUUGGACUAAAUAUGCAAAUAACAUAACUUUAAGCAGCAAGUAUAACUACUUUUUAUACAAUUUUGAGAAUUUGAGCUAUUCUCAUCAAUGGUUUUCAUUUAAGCCUCAACUGUAACCUCACUUCUUCCUUUUCAACGGACUUCGUGAGGUAAUGCGCAGUUUGGGAUUCUAGAAGUCAAUGAUGUGUCAUUUAUUCCUGAUGAUGUAAAUAAAUGCAGACAUUUGUAACGCUAGAGUGCAAAGUCCCACAGCACUUAGAUGCCGAGAACGAUGAAGAGUUACUACUGAAGUCCUCCUCGGUAAACCCACAUCACAAACACAUGCACAGCAGCCAAAGAACUUUGAGAAUUAAGAUCUUUACUCGGGGUCUAUUCAGCUAACUUCAAAGACAACAACAUGACCAGAGGGCUCAGGAGACGUUGGGAAAAUGAAGGGAAUCAAUAUCUUUAAAGAGGAAAGUGAGGGAAUUAUGUACAUGUGUAAUUCAAAAGGUAGGGAGGCUUUUAGAUGCAUUUGUUUUUCCUGCAGUAACGUCCAACAUGUAACUUGAAAAACCUUUCACAUUUGUAGAGAUCCAAGUUUGUUUUACUGAUCAUGCAAAGUUAUCGUUUUUGAGGCCCACAGCUGUACACGUAACACUGCAUAACAUUUUCAGGAUUCUCUGUAUUACUAUUUAACUGAGGUGUAUGUGGAAUAAUAAUUUACUUAUUUUCAAACACAUGUUCACAGUACCUUGAUUAAUUAAGAUAAUUCCAUCAUUGUUUCACAUCA
ensembl:lncRNA